rnacentral:lncRNA from 1 species
UGGCAUUAUAGCACUGCCGCAUAGCGGAAUUUGAACAAACCACUAUUUUUGCGAUCUUCGGUUGAGAACAAUGUGUAGUACAACUGAAUGCACAGGAGACGAGGAUUUCAAAAGAGGAUAAUGUUAAUUAUGCCCCAACCGAGAUACAGCGAGUUGUUUGCUGCAGGGCUGGUUAAUAAAGGAAAAAACUGUCCUUGGAAUAAGAAUAAUGCUUAUAACACACUCUUUAACGCAUACUUUCAAACACUUUUUUAUUGAUUAAAAUUCAUAUGGGUCCCGUUCCACCAAAUUUAUAUGGGACCCACAUGAUUCGGUGGAACCCAUGUGAAUUUCAAUCAAUAAAAAAAGUGUCUCUUCGAAAGAAUGUGUUUGAGAGUUUGUUUCUAGCACUCCUCUUGGAAUAAACUAAGGCAUUGCCUUCAUUAAGAAACUAUUUUUAUAAUGGUUCAAUUUCAUUCAAGAACCAUGCAAUUAGUGCUUCAGAAUCCCAAUCAGCAAACUUCUCUAAAUGAAUAUUACAAAAUAUGCAAACAUUAAAAUUACUCCAAUGUACAAACACCUACUAACUUCGUAUAUAACACUGAUUAUUCUUUAUGUUGGGUUUAUGUAUCAAGAAAAUGGUACAGUUCAAAUUGUCCAUAGCAAGAAGCCAAGAACAAGACUACUCAUGAGAAAAGGGCUAUUCUUGAUUACCCAUUUGAACAGUCACCAAAGAAAAUAUAGCAUUUCACAUUUGGAAUCGAGCACAUUCUAAAGAAACGAUAUGUGAGUAACAAUUACCAGUUAUAUGUGUCAUGACCCUUUCCUAAUCUGUACAUACAAAAUGUCAAAAAAUGAACCAUUCAACAUAAGUUAUGCAAAACAAAACCACAAACGUCUGAAACAGCAACUAUUUAAGCCCUUUUGUAUCGAUAAACCGCUUAACUAAGCACUUAUAGCAUAAACGCUUAUCAUAUAAAUGUUGAUGUACAAUCUAUAAGCUACAAGCUACCACAUAGAGAUUAUGGAAAUAAGCUGAAAAACAGCUUAUGGUUAUGUCAAAAGAUGUUCCUGUAAGCAUUGUAUCACAAGUCUUUAUAUCAUACAUAAGCUCAAACAAGUCAAUCACAUUAAUACAUUACUUCUAUUACUAAGUUCCAUGCACAUGUAUUACUAAUAACAGCACAAAAUCACUCCCACAAUUACCAACAAAUCAAGCACUCAACUUUUGAAUUAAAAACUCACAGUUUUAGCAUUAAAUUAUGAAGAAACAAUUAAAAAUUAAGUUUUUUUUUUUUUUUGUCAGGUAGCCUAGUGGCUCACAUUUUAAAUGUGCCCCUGUCCGGGGUUCGAACCCCGGGCAACUGAGCUAAGCUCACUGGGACAUUAAAAAUUAAGUUAUAAUACAUUAAAUGAUAGUAUAAAUAAUUUUAACAAGACUUGUACAAUAUUUGAA